rnacentral:sRNA from 2 species
AAUUAGCCCCGAUGGGAGCAAAUAUCCUUUUUAUUCUGGGGUUCAGAAUAAAAAGAUAUUGUGGACAGCGGGAACGAUG